UAUAUAUAUAUAUAUAUCAAGGAAAUAUUUUCUAAAUUAAUUGAUAUUUGAAAACAAUGUUUUAUAUUCUAUAAAUAUCACUAUUAAAAUGAGAUCUGCCAUGGAAACAUUUUCUUCUUCUUUCACUGGUAAGAUUUAUUAUAAGUAGAUGAUAGUUACAAUGUAAUGAUUUAAUAUUAGAAAACAAAAGAAAAAAGAUGCUAACAUCCCAUGUGACAUGAAACAGCCAAUAAACUUUCAAAAUGUUUUGCUCACUUGCUCCUUCUCACUAUUAGCUCAAAUGUUGUUGUUUUUUUCACAAUUUAGUAAAAAAACUGUAUUAUGAGAAUCAUUGUUAAAAAAAAAAGAAGAUAUUAUGCAUUAUUGAUACUAAAGGCUUAUUUUUAUAGUUUCAACAUUGCUGUGAAGUAUAAAUUCUGCAUGUUACUUUAAAGUAGGAUCUUUAUUUUGUGAGGAAAAAACACAAAUUUCGGCUGACUAGUAAAAUUGGUCAUUAAUUUUCCAAGCGAAAGUGGCUUUAGAGAAAAUUUUGAGAUUGUGAGAUCUCAAUAGAAUAAUAUAUAACUUUAAUUGAUUAAGAUCCACCUGAAAAAUUCAAUAAUUUAUUGAGAUUUCUACAAAUGUUCAGAAUCUUUUCUUUAGGAUGUUUUUGUUUUUGAUGCAGAAAAAAAUAUUUUGGAAAGACAUUUACAGAUGUUUUUAGUUUUUCACCAUGUUUAAUUACUUGUGUUUCAUGGUUGUGAAUACUGGUGAUAUUGUUUCUUUUUGAUGUAAAUAACUCCAUUCACAAUAAUUCUAUUUUCAUUUCAUGUCACUCACUCCAUGUUUAUCUACUUGAGACUUUUAAUUGUACUAAUUAGAAGUUGUAAUUCCAACACUCAGCAUCUUGAUCUAGGAAACCACAUUUACAUGAUUCAUCGUAAUACAUCAGAAUCAUAUAUUUAUUCAUGUUUCGUUUGAUUUAUUUGGAUAAUAAACUUAUGCUUUUUUUGUGAAAAGCGAUAUUAAUUAGUACUAUUAAUGUAUUUUUAUUUUAUUACUUAGUAACUUUAUAUUGUCUUUUAAAACAAACAAGAACUAAAUUUAUUUCUUUGUUGUUGGUCCAUUUGGUUGUUAAAACUUCCAUCUUGUUGGUUGCAAUUUUGCCCAUUUCUUUCUCGCUGAAAUCUGUUCUAUGUACUUUUUAUAACCUUUUCAUUUUCUAUUUAUUUUAAUUCCUGAAAAAUUCCAUUUUUUCCCCUAUCAGUCGUGUUAUUGCUGAUUGCUGGCUGUGUUAAAAAAAAUGUUUAUAACCUUAGCUUUAAAUGAUAGUGAAAUAUUUAUUUGUACUUGGAAAAUGUCCAUGUAUGAUUGCUGUUUGUUUGAAGGGAAUGCCAGGAAGAUAUAAUUUCUGUACACUUGUCCAUUAAUUUUCAUUUUCUAUAAAAAAACAAACAACAUUUAUGAAGUAUCGCUUAUUCAUUGUUUACAACUUUAUUCUUGGGAACUAAAAAAAAACAACAUGAGCUUGUACAAAUACAAACACAUAAUGCUGCAUCUAAAAAUGUAAUGUACAGUUGAAAUUUCCUUUCUUUUUUUUUGGUCUGGGAUUUUUCAAAGUUUGUGUUCUGGAUAUUAUUUGACAUUAAUCUGUAAAUUGUUUGACAGCCAAGGAUCAAAAGAUGCCAGGGGAAAAAAAACUACAUUUAUAAGAAUUCAUUUUCUUCAAUGGUCUUUACAUUCUAAACAAAAGGCCAGACUAUGAAUAAAGUUUUCACAAUUGAUAUUGUUAAGUAUUUGUUGCCCUUGGAUAUUUCUAAAAAUACAAAAAUCCUUUACAUUAAUUAAGUUGAGCUAGAAUAUAGCUAUCAGAAUUACUUAAGGGUUGACUGAAAUCUGUGAUCUGAGGAAUAAUCUCUAAACCCCUUUAUGCAUAUUAGGAAUUAAUAAUUACUGUAACAUUCAGUGUUCUUUCUUCUCUGAGGCCUUCUGUACACUACUACUUGUACAACUAAAAAGUAAAGUUCAUCUUUCAGACCUUGUGAUCUAUAGGGCAGAUGAUGCUGUGUUCAUCUGUUUCUCUGGCCAACAGUUAACAAACUUGUACAACUGUCAUUAAUUUGUGGUCUCUGUUGUGUGUGAAGAGUAGAUCUAAAGGCCAGCAGCACCAAUUACUUGUACUUGCAGGGACUUUAAGCCAAAAUCAUUUGGUCUUAUUAUAAAGUCUUUGUGUUAAAAAAAUGUCUCUAUUUGGUCAAAAAAAAGUUGAAAUGACAAUCCAUUGUGCUGUUUUUUGAGUAUGUAGAUGAUCCCCCCUUGAGAACACUUUUGUUUUGCUCAUUCUGAACUGCUGGCUUUAAACAACCUCAUGUAUUAGUAGUAGCCUUUCAUAUCUGUUUGAUUUCAUACCCACUUUAACCCUUCCUUUACCUCUGCUGAGUUUCUAGUAUUUGGUUAAAGGUUAAGUUGUGCUUUUUUAUUUUCUGAUAGUGUGUAAAUGACAAUCCCUAAGUAAAAAAGUAUUAAUUAUUCUAUUCCUUCAAAUAACAUGAAAUCCAUUUUUUUUUAUUUAAACAGAUUUUUACAAAUGAACAAAAUAAAACAAUGGUUUUAUUGCCUUGAUCCCAAAUAAAAUAUUUUGUAUUCAAAUGCCAAAACAUAAGUUUUUUGUUUGAACUGUUUAUGAUGUGUGGCUAAAUACAAACUUAGUAAAUAUUGGAGUGCAAGGCAACUUACCUAUAUAUCAACACAGCAUCAUUGUCACUAUGACAGCAUCCAAACAACACUAAUAUUAAUGCCAAUAACUUUAGGUACCAUUCACUAUAUCUAUGCACUUGAACAUCCAAAUAUAAAGUUGUUGAAAAUGUUUUACUCUAUAAAAUACAAGUUUUGAUGAAUUACAAGUUUCUAACAUGAUAGGGUUGCAACUUUUAAAUGUGUGUGUGUGUUGUUUUGCUGGUUUUUUUUGCUUGCAUUAUUUUUUUUUACUCUAGUUCAGAUAUCUGUAGGCCUACAUGAGUCUUUGGUGUAUUUUUUUCUUACAUAUUUUAUUUUCAUGCUGGAAAAAGAUGUUCUUGUAAAAUUUUUUAUAAAAUUGAUUUUUUUUUAAUAUAGUGAUGUAGUUAUACCUAUGAUGUGUAUGUAAUCUCUCUAUAAAUUUUAAAAUUAGCUCUGUGAGAAAAACUAAACCUGUUUUUUUAGUGUCAUUGACUUUUCUAGAAAAAGUACAUACGUGGGGAUGACCCUUGAGACAUAUUGACACCUCAUUUAUGUCUUUAAGCCAUCACAGACGUAUUCUAUUUUUAAAUGAAUCUAUGAAGCGUAAAUGUCUUCAAGUGAAACUCUAUUUGGGUUUUGUCGUAGUGAGGAUAGAUCAAUGUUUUGUAUGUCAAGCUGUACUAGCUUAAAUUUAGAAGAAUAUGAUUCCUAGGAAUUUUGUUUUAUUUUCCAUCAAAGAAGUGUCCUGAUAAAUUGAGAUUGUCUUUAUUAAUUUUCAACUUAAGGUACAAUUUUUUUUAUACUGAAACGAAUGAAACACAAUAUAAUAAUAAUAAGCAGCCAUAUUUGUUUUGAGUUGACAUACAUUUAUAUACAUUUGUUUUUACAAGCACUGAGCCUUGCUUUUUUUUUACGUCUUUAGUUUCUUAUGCACACUGUCAAUUUUCUUAGUUGAUCAGGAGAAGCUCAAGAUUGUCCUCUCUUCUAUCUGUUCUUUAGGUCAGAGUAAUUUAAACAUUGGCAGGGGUUUACAUUAGUCAUUUUGGAAAUCAUCAUCCCUUCAUUAUCUUUCCACUCAGGUGGCUUGUGUACAUGCUUCAUAAACACUUAGGGUAAAGACACAGGUGUAACAAAUAUUAAACUGUCCGUCAUGUUAGAAAACAAUGUACUUCAAGUACUAUUAGAAAUGGGCAAAUGAGUUAUUUUAAACUUAAGAACAAUCGCUGUGUGUUUGAGACAUGGCUGGAAAUGAGAAAUUAGAAACAAUGAUUGACAGAUCAGACUGGCAGGUAAGGAACUAGAAUUGAUCGUGGGGGAGUAAAAAAUAGUUUAAGAAUGCAGGAGCUAUGUUUCAAACUGUAAACUGAAUGAAACCUUUCAGAACAAAAAAAAAUUGUUCAAUUCAGUGGGAUAUAGCACACACAAAAGUUUCAUAACAAUAACAUUGUUGUUGUUAUGGUAGUUUGUGCUAAGAAAAAUGUUUUUUGAAGAAUUGUAAUCUUUGAGUUAACACUAGGUUAGAUGUAACUACUAUUUUAGCAUUGUAAUAUUUUCCUAUAUAACUCACUUUUUAAGUUUCAUUAUCUACUCUGAAUUUUCACCAACAUUCUUGUGCCUAUAUUAUGUUUAUAUAUUCACUGUGUUGACAUUUUGAAACAUUCCAUCAUACAAUAGAUAAUUUUAUGUAAAGAUAAAAAUUAAAUUCCAUGUACCCAGUU